rnacentral:rRNA from 1 species
AUACAGAGGGUGCAAGCGUUAAUCGGAAUUACUGGGCGUAAAGCGCGCGUAGGUGGUUUGUUAAGUUGGAUGUGAAAGCCCCGGGCUCAACCUGGGAACUGCAUCCAAAACUGGCAAGCUAGAGUACAGUAGAGGGUGGUGGAAUUUCCUGUGUAGCGGUGAAAUGCGUAGAUAUAGGAAGGAACACCAGUGGCGAAGGCGACCACCUGGACUGAUACUGACACUGAGGUGCGAAAGCGUGGGGAGCAAACAGAAUUAGAAACCCUAGUAGUCC